UACGGGGGGGGCAAGCGUUGUUCGGAAUUACUGGGCGUAAAGGGCGCGUAGGCGGCUUUUCAAGUCGGGCGUGAAAUCUCCAGGCUUAACCUGGAAGGGUCGUUCGAUACUGUUAAGCUAGAGUGUGGAAGAGGCUACUGGAAUUCCGUGUGUAGCGGUGAAAUGCGUAGAUAUACGGAGGAACACCUGCGGCGAAGGCGGGUAGCUGGGCCAACACUGGCGCUGAGGCGCGAAAGCUAGGGGAGCAAACGGG
rnacentral:rRNA from 1 species